CGUUAGCCACCACACUUGGCCAAGAGAGUUCUUUCAAAUUUACCAAUAUUAUCACUAUUAAAUAGCUUUUAUUUUGAAGUAUAUAUCCUAGUGACUUUUUAACUUCAUAUAUCUUAUUCUGUAUAUAUGUAGUAAAUCACUAUCUGGACUCAUUAGUUAGAUGUUGAACUUAGCCGUAACCUUAUCUACUACAUACAUGGGCAUUUUCUGUUGUUAUUAACCCUGGGACUUAAGUUGCCUUAGAAAUAUUAAUGAUAAUUGCUAUAUGUAUAGAUGUUACCACUAAUAUCUUUAGUAUUCUCUGCUGACUGUCCAUGAACCCUGUGGAGUUCAUUAUGCUGGAAGUCACAGCGUAUUCCUUAAACCCUUCUGAUUCUGCUUUAUGGCCUCCUCCCUUGUUGAGUAUCUUCUUAAAAGGAAUCAGAAACCACUCUUCCCACAUUCUCCAAUAGUCAAGUCACACCAUGAACACGGUUCCAAGAAGCGGAAAGGUCCUCUACCACUUCAAGGAAAUUAGGAAGAAAAAAAAAGAGAGAAAAACAACGUGUUGUUCCAGAAGGUUCAAGAGAUUCUCCUGCCUCAGCCUCCCAAGUAAUUGGAAUUACAGGCCCAUGCCACCCCACCCGGCCAAUUUUUUUGUAUUUUUAGUAGAGAUGGGGUUUUGCCAUGUUGGCCAGGCUGGUCUCAAACUCCUGACCUCAAGUGAUCCGCCGGCCUCGGCCUCCCAAAGUGCUGGGAUUACAGGCAUGAGCCACCAUGCCGGACCUAUUAGUGUAUUUACUGGAUAUCAAGAUGACUAAGAAAUAGCACUUGCCUUGAAGGAGCUUUUCUAUUUGAGGAAAAAGACAUGUAUAUAAAUAACUGCAAACAGAAUAAAACAAGUGUUAUAUAGAUCUACAUACAGUGACAUGCCAUGGGAAUGCUGAACACUGAGCAACAGUUUCAACUAGCGAAUUGGCACAGGAAACAUGAGAAAUAAAUGUAUUUUCAAUAUGACAAGAAUGGUCAUUUCUGGAUAUAAGAACAAGAGAAAAGUCAUGGAUAUAUGGAAAGGCAUGGACUCUUCAAGGAAGAGCAAGUAGUCUAAUGUAGAUGCUGUAUAGGAAUCUGGGGACAAAGGGACAGAUAAGUGGUAUAAACAAAGAGGCUGGAAAUAGGGUUAUGGGCUAGAUCAUGAGUGACCUGUAAGCAUUAGGAGUUUUGAUUUAUUUUGGAAUAAGAAACAUUUAUGGCUUUUGAGAAGGAAAAUUACACAAGGGAAAAGAAAGGAUUUUUAUUUUUUAUUUUUAUUUUUGGAGAGAUGAGAUCUCACUAUGUUGCCCAGGCUGGUCUUGAACUCCUGAACUCAAGCAAUCCUCCCAGCUCGGCCUCUGAAACUUCUAGGAUUAUAGGCGUGAGCCACUACGUCCAGCCAGGAUUAUGUUUUUUAUGGGAGGGAUGAGAAUAUUGGUAGGCGGGUAGAGGAUAAAUGAGAGAGAAUAUGUAUAUGUGAGAUUGAAUAUAUAAUAGAAAAAAUUGAUAGGACAAGUCUUGCGUUAUUACUACAUUUUAUGAGGAAAAUCUAUAUAUUAGAAGCACUUUAAAGGUAUAUUUGCUGUUAUAGCUGUGGAAACCAUCUGAAAACACAUUUGAAAGUGCUUUGAAACAGGGGUCAACAAACUUUUCUGCAAAGGGCCAGAGUAUGUUUAGCUUUGCGGGCCACAGAUGGCCUCUGUUGCAUAUGCUGCUGGGUCUCCACCUUCCUCCUCCUUUUCUUCCCUUCCUCUUCCUUCUUUUUCUUCUUCUCUUUCUUCUUCUUUCUCUUUAAAAGCAUAAAAUCAUUCUCAGCUCAUGGGCCAUACAGAAACAGGCCAUAGGCCAGAUUUGACUUCUAGGCCAUAGUUUGCCGACCCUCCAUUUUAGAACUUAGCUUUCCUGAAAGAGCAUUUGGGUCUCUCUCUCUCUCUCCCUUUCUCUCUCUCUGUCUCUCUCUCUCUCUCUGUCUCUCUCUCUCUCUCUCUCUUUCAGUAAGUGAAGUAAGAAAUAGGUCUUUCUUGAGGAACAAAAAGCUGAAAUAAUUUCAUGCAUUUGAAUAUGACCCUUGACCUGUUUUUGUCCAUCAUCACUCAGAUUUGUGGCUGCAACCACCAACCAAUUUGGUGCCAUAGGAUAUAGCAUAAUUUUUCAGCAACAGUUCAUAAGCUUUUCUUUUUGUUCUUUUUCCUUCUUCCAGUUGUGGUGGUUUAAAAACAUGUCUGCAAAAUCUUUGACACUUCUCAGUAAAAAAUAUAGAGUCUUGUGUUCCCUUUUCUUGAACCUAAGUGGCCUUUGUGCUGCCUCAACAAAUAGAAUAUGACAGAAAAGACACUGUGACUUUUGAGACAGGGUCAUAAGAGGUGAUAGAGCUUCCCCAUGCCCCUGCAUUUUAGAGCUCUGGGUUGCCAUGUAAGAAUAGCUACCCUGAAGCUACCAUGCUGAAGAGACCACAGGGAAAUCACAUAGAGUUAGAAAGAGGUGUCUGAAGAAGCCCAGCUGCUCCCAAUCCCAGCUAUUUAAGUCCUCCCAGACCAGGUGCCAUAUAUAUGAGUGAGCAAGCCUUCAGAUGGUUCCAGCACCAGCCACCAUCUAGCUGUAAGCUCAUGAGACCCCUUCAACGAAAACCAUCUAGAUUAGCUUAGUCAAGCCCCAGAACCGUGAAAGACAAUAGACUUGCUAUGGAGGUCGCCACAUGCCUCUUUUUUCUCCCUUUGUGAAUGGGAUUAUUUAUAAUGGUUACCCAUACCUACUCCACUAUGUAUAUUGGGUAUGAGGGAGAGAUAAUUUGUCUCACUAGCUGACAGAUUUUUCAAACCUCAAGGAAUGCCACUUGAGCUGUACGCACAGGACCACACACAAGUAUCUUUAUCCACACGUGACCUGAUUUCACUGAUAAAGUCCUGGACCUUGAGCCUGAGCCCAGUGUCUUAAUAAAUGAGAAUUUCAGAAGGUCUUGGGAGGGGGUGAGUAUAUUUUGCAUGUGGGAAGGAUGUAAAUAAUAUGUGGCCUGAGAGCAGAUUAUGGUGGUUUGAAAAUGUGUCCACCAAUUCUUUAAUACUACUCUCAACAAGAGGUGGAAUCUGUGUCUCUUCCUUUGCAACAUGAGUGGACCUUUGUGAUUAAAUGCAGCAGAAGGAUGCUGUGUGAACUCUGAGACAGGGUAAUAAGGGGUGAUACAGCUGCCACCUAGUUCUUUCUCAGAACAUGUGCCUUUGGAGCCCUGAGCUGCCAUGGAAGAAAACCACCUACCCUGAAGCCACAACACUGGAAAGACUAUGUGGAAGAACCACAGAGAGAGAGAAGAGGACCAAAUGUGUGAGCCUUCCCAGCCCAGGCUCCAAAUAUGCAGUAGUAAGCCUUCAUUUCUUUUUGGUUUUAAUUUUUUUUUUUUUUAAUAAAUCGAAAUGGGUUCUCACUAUGUUGCCCAGGCUGGUCUUGAACUCCUAAGCUCAAGUAAUCCUCCUACCUCAGUCUCCCAAAGUGCUGGAAUUGUAGGCAUGAGCCACCAUGCCCGGCUGCAAGUAGUAAGUCUUCCGAUGCUUCCAUCACCAGCCACCAUCUGAUGACAACCCCAUGAAUGACCCUCAGCAAGAACUACCUAGCUGAAUCCAGCCAAACUCCAGACCCGUGAGAGAGAAAUAAAAUUGUUGUUUGAGUCACUAAAUACGGAGUAAUUUAUAUUAUCAACAGAUAACUGGAACCACAAGUGUAAUUGUUAAAGGUAAAACUUUGAAUACAUUUAUAUUUGCCUUCUGCCACAUUCCAUAAUUGACUUUUGUUCAUGAACCUAUUGGCAAGUUUGCCUUAUUGCUUUUCCUUCUUCCCUUUUUUUUUUUGUAACUUAAAAAAUCAUAUGAUAAAACAACACAAAAAUGUAUUUGAAUGUAGGUUGAGUGACCAUAAAUAAGCACAAAA